UUGCAGGCCUUUCAUAUCAUAAUGGUGGACCAUGGCCUACCCUACUAUGGCAGUUCACAUUGGCUUGCAUCAAGAUGGGCCGGCCUGAAUUAGCUCAUAAAGCUGUCUCGGUAGCUGAGAAAAGGCUUUCGAACGAUCAAUGGCCUGAAUACUAUGACACCUGACCGCAAGAUUCAUCAGUAAUCAAUCAUGAUUGUAUCAAACAUUGACAAUUGCUGGGUUUCUGGCAUCAAAGUUGCUACCGGAGAAUCCAAAAAUGGCAUCCAUAUUCACAUUUCAGGAAGAUAUGGAACUACUGGAAGGCUGUGCCUACAGUCUGACAAAUCAUCCUCGUGCCAAAUGCUCACGACGCGUUCCAAAAGCGCAGGUCCUUGUAUAACUUGUUGAAGAUACGCAACCAUUCUUUGAUGCUUGUACUGUAUAUAAGAAAAAGGAAAACCAUAGAUGGAAGAGGGAUCCACCUCCACACAACAUUGUUUCCUCAUUGAGAUAUGCUCUUUUUUUUGUUGAGCUACCAUGAUGGUGACUGUGUAUCAGUGAUGUGUAAAAGAUUUGGCCUUUGUAACAAAAAAUAUGUAUGUUUUGAUGA